rnacentral:tRNA from 1 species
GGGGUCUGUGGCUCAGUGGCAGAGCAUCCACUUGGCCUGCAGAAGGUCCUAAGUUCGAUCCCGGUCAGCUCCA